ensembl:snRNA U6 U6 spliceosomal RNA
GUACUCACUUCAGCAGUACACAUACUAAAAUUAAAAUGAUACAAAGAUUACCAUGGCCCCUGCACAAGAAAAACAUGCAAAUUUGCAAAGCAUUUUAUAUUAGA